CCUACGGGAGGCAGCAGUGGGGAAUAUUGGGCAAUGGGCGCAAGCCUGACCCAGCAAUGCCGCGUGAAGGAAGAAGGCUUUCGGGUUGUAAACUUCUUUGACAGGGGAAGAGCAGAAGACGGUACCCUGAAAACAAGCCACGGCUAACUACGUGCCAGCAGCCGCGGUAAUACGUAGGUGGCAAGCGUUGUCCGGAUUUACUGGGUGUAAAGGGCGUGUAGCCGGGAAGGCAAGUCAGAUGUGAAAUCUGGAGGCUCAACCUCCAAAUUGCAUUUGAAACUGUUUUUCUUGAGUACUGGAGAGGCAGACGACAUUCCGUUUUUCGCGGUUAAAUGCCUAGAUCUCAGG
rnacentral:rRNA from 1 species